UACGUAGGGUGCAAGCGUUAUCCGGAAUUAUUGGGCGUAAAGAGCUCGUAGGCGGUUUGUCGCGUCUGCUGUGAAAACCCGAGGCUCAACCUCGGGCCUGCAGUGGGUACGGGCAGACUAGAGUGCGGUAGGGGAGAUUGGAAUUCCUGGUGUAGCGGUGGAAUGCGCAGAUAUCAGGAGGAACACCGAUGGCGAAGGCAGAUCUCUGGGCCGUAACUGACGCUGAGGCGCGAAAGCCAGGGGAGCAAACGGG
rnacentral:rRNA from 1 species